CCGGGGCUUAANUCCGGUUUUGCAGUGGGUACGGGCUAACUAGAGUGCAGUAGGGGAGACUGGAAUUCCUGGUGUAGCGGUGGAAUGCACAGAUAUCAGGAGGAACACCGAUGGCGAAGGCAGGUNUCUGGGCUGUAACUGACGCUGAGAAGCGAAAGCAUGGGGAGCGAACAGGAUUAGAUACCCUGUAGUCCAUGCCGUAAACGUUGGGCACUAGGUGUGGGGGACAUUCCACGUUNUCCGCGCCGUAGCUAACGCAUUAAGUGCCCCGCCUGGGGAGUACGGCCGCAAGGCUAAAACUCAAAGGAAUUGACGGGGGCCCGCACAAGCGGCGGAGCAUGCGGAUUAAUUCGAUGCAACGCGAAGAACCUUACCAAGGCUUGACAUGCAUUAGAUCGCGUCAGAGAUGGCGUUUCCCUUCGGGGCUGGUGUACAGGUGGUGCAUGGUUGUCGUCAGCUCGUGUCGUGAGAUGUUGGGUUAAGUCCCGCAACGAGCGCAACCCUCGUUCUAUGUUGCCAGCGGUUCGGCCGGGGACUCAUAGGAGACUGCCGGGGUCAACUCGGAGGAAGGUGGGGAUGACGUCAUAUCAUCAUGCCCCUUAUGUCUUGGGCUUCACGCAUGCUACAAUGGCCGGUACAGAGGGUUGCGAUACUGUGAGGUGGAGCUAAUCCCUUAAAGCCGGUCUCAGUUCGGAUUGGGGUCUGCAACUCGACCCCAUGAAGUCGGAGUCGCUAGUAAUCGCAGAUCAGCAACGCUGCGGUGAAUACGUUCCCGGGCCUUGUACACACCGCCCGUCAAGUCACGAAAGUUGGUAACACCCGAAGCCG
rnacentral:rRNA from 1 species